rnacentral:rRNA from 1 species
CUACCGGGCUGCUGCAGUGGGGAAUAUUGCACAAUGGAGGAAACUCUGAUGCAGCAACGCCGCGUGGAGGAUGACACUUUUCGGAGCGUAAACUCCUUUUAUAUAGGAAGAAGAUGACGGUACUAUAUGAAUAAGCGCCGGCUAACUCCGUGCCAGCAGCCGCGGUAAUACGGAGGGCGCAAGCGUUACUCGGAAUCACUGGGCGUAAAGAGCGUGUAGGCGGAUUAAAAAGUCAGAAGUGAAAUCCUAUAGCUUAACUAUAGAACUGCUUCUGAAACUCUUAAUCUAGAAUAUGGGAGAGGUAGAUGGAAUUUCUGGUGUAGGGGUAAAAUCCGUAGAGAUCAGAAGGAAUACCGAUUGCGAAGGCGAUCUACUAGAACAUUAUUGACGCUGAGACGCGAAAGCGUGGGGAGCAAACAGGAUUAGAUACCCGGGUAGUC